GGAUGUGAGGGUGAUCUGGCUGCGACAUCUGUCACCCCAUUGAUCACCAGGGUUGAUUUGGCUGAUCUGGCUGGCUAGGCGGGUGUCCCCCUCCUCCCUCACCAAUCCAUGUGCGUCCCUCCUGAAGCUGCACGCUCGGUGGAAGAGGAUGACCUUCCCCACGCCCAGAGGAGAGGACCGGUCUUGGUCAAGGUUAUACGAGUAGCUGCGCUUCCCUGCUAGAACAUCCAAAGAAGCUCUCAAGGUCCAUUUACAUUGGAUUGUUUGUGUGGUUUUUGGUGUUGAGUUGUAU
rnacentral:snRNA from 1 species